UUCUAAACCAACUGCUGGUCACCAUUUUCAUUUCUUAUCCUCGGCAGGUUCUGCCAACUUAAGCUACUUGAUGGUCAAAGUCCGAUCAAACCGGCCCUGAAAGGCCAGACGAGGACACACAGAGUCCGCUCGGUGUAAAUCCUGUAGAUAUGUGCCACGGCUGUCUGCAUGUGAGACAACCAGAGGAGCGUCCUCGUCCUGGCUGGACAUGUCCUGGAUAGCUGCAGACAUGACCACUGAUUCCAGUAAAAAAUCGGAUUAUGGUUCCAGCAUAGCGAUGUCAGGCAGGAGCUUGGUGGCCAGGUCAUGGAUGGCUUUUCCCAUGAUGCACAUGGAAGACAGGAUGAAGAUCACGCCCAGGAUCACACAGGCUCUGUGAAAGAGAGGGAAACAAAC